UGGGUGUGCCGUGGGGCAGGGAGUGAGGCGAGAGGCUGGCCAGGGGGUGCUGAGGGUGCCGUGGGGCAGGGAGUGGGGCGAGGGGCUGGCCAGGGGGUGCUGAGGGUGCCGUGGGGCAGGGAGUGGGGCAAGGGGUUGGCCGGGGGAUUGGGUGGUGCCGUGGGGCAGGGAGAUAUUCUGUGAGGUUUUCUCCCCCGAGGGCGCCGCCCACUAACCUGUCAGCGCGGCCCCGGGGCCCGGAGAUGGAGCAAGGGGCUCCAUGGGACCCCCGAGCCCCCCAGGUCGUCGCCAGCCGGUUACUGGUCCCAGUGGCCGGUUACUGGUCCCGCGUGGCUGGACCCUGGCCGGUUACUGGUCCCAGUGGCCGGUUACUGGUCCCCCGUGGCUGGUCCCUGGCCAGUUACUGGUUCCAGUGGCUGGUUACUGGUCCCGCGUGGCUGGUCCCUGGCCGGUUACUGGUCCCAGUGGCCGGUUACUGGUCCCCCGUGGCUGGACCCUGGCCGGUCACUGGUCCCAGUGGCUGGACCCUGGCUGGUCACUGGUCCCAGUGGCUGGUUACUGGUCCCCCGUGGCUGGUUACUGGUCCCCCGUGGCUGGUCCCUGGCCGGUUACUGGUCCCCCGUGGCUGGUCCCUGGCCGGUUACUGGUUCCAGUGGCCGAUUACUGGUCCCCCAUGGCUGGUCUCUGGCCGGUUACUGGUCCCAGUGUCCAGUUACUGGUCCCAGUGGCUGGUCCCUGGCUGGUUACUGGUCCCAGUGGCUGGUCUCUGGCCGGUUACUGGUCCCCAGUGGCUGGUCCCUGGCCGGUUACUGGUCCCAGUGGCUGGUCCCUGGCCGGUUACUGGUCCCAGUGGCUGGUCCCUGGCCGGUUACUGGUCCCCAGUGGCUGGUCCCUGGCCGGUUACUGGUCCCAGUGGCUGGUCUCUGGCCGGUUACUGGUCCCAGUGUCCAGUUACUGGUCCCAGUGGCUGGUCCCUGGCUGGUUACUGGUCCCAGUGGCUGGUCUCUGGCCGGUUACUGGUCCCCAGUGGCUGGUCCCUGGCCGGUUACUGGUCCCAGUGGCUGGUCUCUGGCCGGUUACUGGUCCCAGUGUCCAGUUACUGGUCCCAGUGGCUGGUCCCUGGCUGGUUACUGGUCCCAGUGGCUGGUCUCUGGCCGGUUACUGGUCCCCAGUGGCUGGUCUCUGGCCGGUUACUGGUCCCCAGCGGCUGGUCCCUGGCCGGUUACUGGUCCCCAGUGGCUGGUCCCUGGCCGGUUACUGGUCCCAGUGGCUGGUCUCUGGCCGGUUACUGGUCCCCAGUGGCUGGUCUCUGGCCGGUUACUGGUCCCCAGUGGCUGAUCCUUGGCUGGUUACUGGUCCCAGCGGCUGGUCCCUGGCCGGUUCUCAGCUCCGCGCCGAGCGGCCCCCCCAGGUGGCCGAGCUCCGCCGCAUGCGCCUGCCGGGAAAGUCCCGGGUCCCG
rnacentral:lncRNA from 1 species